GGUUCAAAGUCCCUUUAUCCCC
rnacentral:tRNA from 1 species